UUGCUUUGGCAGCACAUACACUGAAAUUCAAGUGAUAUGGAGAAAAUUAGCAUGGUUCCUGUGCAAGGAUAACAUGAAAACUCAUGAAGCAUCCCACAUUUUU